rnacentral:rRNA from 1 species
CCUACGGGUGGCUGCAGUGGGGAAUAUUGCACAAUGGGGGGAACCCUGAUGCAGCGACGCCGCGUGAGUGAAGAAGUAUUUCGGUAUGUAAAGCUCUAUCAGCAGGGAAGAAAAUGACGGUACCUGAUUAAGAAGCCCCGGCUAACUACGUGCCAGCAGCCGCGGUAAUACGUAGGGGGCAAGCGUUAUCCGGAUUUACGGGGUGUAAAGGGAGCGUAGACGGCAGAGCAAGUCUGUAGUGAAAGGCCGCGGCUCAACCGCGGAACUGCUUUGGAAACUGCCCAGCUAGAGUGCGGGAGAGGUAAGCGGAAUUCCUAGUGUAGCGGUGAAAUGCGUAGAUAUUAGGAGGAACACCAGUGGCGAAGGCGGCUUACUGGACUGUAACUGACGUUGAGGCUCGAAAGCGUGGGGAGCAAACAGGAUUAGAUACCCUUGUAGUC